UUUAUUGGUAUCAGAGCUACGAUUUAGUUGAGUCUCAGACUUAACAUAGCGUGUAAGAGUCUAGCUAUACAUGCCAUUAUAUAACCUGUGAUAGUGUGAUAUCUCCUGACCAUUUUAAAACAUGUUUUCUUAUAGUAAUGAUAUCCAAUCGAGCUGAUUCCGAUGAAGUAGAGAGCAACAUUCAAGUAUUCAUUCAUGGAGUAGCUUUGAGCUAUGUGAGGCCCGUAUCUGAUGGCCGGGGACGAGAGGCUAAGGACGAAGCCGACU
rnacentral:lncRNA from 1 species